AUGCAAAACCCGUUCUCCACGCCAUUUGUGGAAGGCAUCUUAUCCCUCGUGGCCCUGCAUCAAGAACAACAUCAGGCCCUGCUGGACUUAAGAACUGACCAGGAGAGGUGGUUCCAUGCUAUUCUGCAAGCCCAGCAGGAGGACCGCGAGAGUUUCCGGAACUGGAUUGACCGGGAGAUUCGUGCCGAAGCCACCGGACCGCCCGCAGUCCCUGCUCACUUGCCCCUACACAAGAUGGGACCGCAAGAUGACCCUGAAGCAUUCUUGGAGUUAUUCGAGAAGUCAGCUGAAAUGUGCGGGUGGCCCCGCAACCAAUGGCCAGUGCGCCUUAUUCCCCUGCUCUCGGGCGAGUCUCAGGUGGCCGCACAACAGCUUCCGGUAUCGAACCUCCCGGUCUUCGACGACCUGAAGAGGGCCAUCAUCCAGCGGGUCGGCCGGAGCCCCGAACUACAUCGUCAGCGCUUCCGUUCCCAGGAUUUGGGGGAAUCCUGUCGGCCCUUCGCGAUGGCCCAACCGGGGACGGGGCAGGACGGGACUGACCAGGGACACUUCGCGAGUCCAAGAGCCCCGUCCAGGGGGGCGGGACUAAUGGCUGCCAGAGGGGACAGCACUUCUGUUUCUCCGCUCUCUCCACACCAAUCGUUCAACCCACUCCCUGCCACUGGGGCGGCGGGGAGGUCUGGGCCGGCCUGUUGGCAUUGUGGGGACCCGGAGCAUUUCAUGGACAGAUGUCCAGUGAUGGAGGUGGGGAUGAUGAUCCGGGUCCCGGAUGUCCCACAGGCUGCCCCCGGUACUUAUCCGGCUUUGGUGGAUUCAGGAUGUAACCAAACCUUGAUUCAUCAAAGCCUGAUUCAACCGGGGACAUUGGAUACAAGCCACGUGGUUAAGGUGCGGUGCAUGCAUGGGGAUGUGGUGGAGUAUCCCGUAGUGCCAGUCAUUAUCCAAUUCCGGGGACAAAAGCAUAGCGUUGAGGUGGCGGUUAAUCCACACCUCUGGCAUCCGAUAAUUCUGGGAACGGAUUGGCCCGCAUUUACGGUUUUAUUGGGGUCUUUAUGCACGGAUGCCUCUUGGGGGAAUAAGGCACGGAAAGGGGAUGAGACAUUAAAGCAUGCUUUCCAACAGGUCCGUACCAUCGACGGCCAGCCUCUCCAUCCUGCCCACUCACUCACCUAUCCGUAUUUUGCCAUUUUAAAAGAUUGGUUGUAUCGGGUGACCCAAGACGCUCGGACAAAAGAAGAUACAACCCAGUUGUUAAUUCCAAGGAGCUGCAGGGAAAUGCUUUUCCAAGCGGCUCAUUCUAAUCCAAUGGCAGGCCACUUGGGAUAG
ensembl:lncRNA